rnacentral:rRNA from 1 species
CAGCAGCCGCGGUAAUACCGGCGGCCCGAGUGGCGGCCACUCUUAUUGGGCCUAAAGCGUCCGUAGCCGGGCUGGUAAGUCCUCCGGGAAAUCUGGUCGCUUAACGAUCAGACUUCCGGAGGAUACUGCUGGCCUAGGGACCGGGAGAGGCCGAGGGUAUUCCCGGGGUAGGGGUGAAAUCCUGUAAUCCCGGGAGGACCACCUGUGGCGAAGGCGCUCGGCUGGAACGGGUCCGACGGUGAGGGACGAAGGCCAGGGGAGCGAACCGGAUUAGAUACCCGGGUAGUCCUGGCGGUAAACGAUGCGGACUAGGUGUCGGGCAAGCUAAGGGCUUGUCCGGUGCCGCAGGGAAGCCGUUAAGUCCGCCGCCUGGGGAGUACGGCCGCAAGGCUGAAACUUAAAGGAAUUGGCGGG